UACGUAGGGGGCAAGCGUUGUCCGGAAUCAUUGGGCGUAAAGCGCGCGUAGGCGGCCCGGUAAGUCCGUUGUGAAAGUCAAAGGCUCAACCUUUGAAUGCCGAUGGAUACUGCCGGGCUAGAGUCCGGAAGAGGCGAGUGGAAUUCCUGGUGUAGCGGUGGAAUGCGCAGAUAUCAGGAGGAACACCGAUAGCGAAGGCAGCUCGCUGGGACGGUACUGACGCUGAGGAGCGAAAGCGUGGGGAGCGAACAGG
rnacentral:rRNA from 1 species